rnacentral:rRNA from 1 species
AUACGGAGGCUCCUAGUGUUAUCCGGAUUUAUUGGGUUUAAAGGGAGCGUAGGCGGGAGGUCAAGUCAGCUGUGAAAUGUAUCUGCUUAACGGGUACACUGCAGUUGAAACUGGUUUUCUUGAGUGCGUAAGAGGCAGGCGGAAUUUGUUUGGUUACGGUGGAAUGCUUAGAUAUGACGAGGAACUCCUAUUGCGAAGGCAGCUUGCUGGGUCGUUACUGACGCUGAUGCUCGAAGGUGCGGGGAUCAAACAGGAUUAGAUACCCUGGUAGUCCGCACAGUAAACUAUGGAUACUCUCUGCCGGCGAUAUAUUGUCGGAGGCCAAGCGAAAGCGUUAAGUAUCCCACCUGGGGAGUACGCCGGCAACGGUGAAACUCAAAGGAAUUGACGGGG